AAACCAACAGGGAUUGCCUCAGUAACGGCGAGUGAAGCGGCAUCAGCUCAAAUUUGAAAUCGGGUCUUUCAGAUCUGAAUUGUAAUUUGUAGAGGAAUUAUCAUAGGUCCAACCUGUCAAGUCGUACCUGGAAUGGGGCAUCAUAGAGGGUGAGAAUCCCGUAUGAACAGGACUUGGGCCUUCCAAUGUAUAAUCCUUCGACGAGUCGAGUUGUUUGGGAAUGCAGCUCUAAAUGGGAGGUAAAUUUCUUCUAAAGCUAAAUAUUGGCCAGAGACCGAUAGCGAACAAGUAGAGUGAUCGAAAGAUGAAAAGCACUUUGGAAAGAGAGUUAAACAGUAUGUGAAAUUGUUAGAAGGGAAGCGCUUGCAAUCCAAGGAGCAUAUCUGUUGGGGAACUUACUGGACCUUUUAGUAGGGAACUACACCUUUACUGGUGUGUAGGUUUGUUUCUUGAACAGUAUCGUGCCGGUCAACGCCAGUUGGGAUCAUUGGGAUAAGCAUCAUGUGAAAGUAGCUCGUAGCCUUUGGUUGCGAGUGCCUUAUAGCUGUUGAUUGUAUUACCAAUUAGACCUGACUGAUGACAGUAUUUAUUUACGGUCGAAAUUUGAUAGAAAGGGUUGUAAGCGGC
rnacentral:rRNA from 1 species